AGCUUUAUAUUCAAAUAAUGAUUUAAAAUUGCAAAUUUUAAGGUAUAAAUAAUUUAUUAAGGCUU
rnacentral:tRNA from 1 species